GGGCCGUGUAAAGUCCCGGGGGGCUAGGCCUCCCCUGUAACCGCAAACGGUCUAUAUGGCGGGGGACGCUAACCUCAUGCCAGGAUAUCCUCCAUGUCCUGUAAAGGUAUCCUCUGUCAUAAUGACAUUUAGCCUCAUGGGACCACCGUAGGCUGAGAAAACUCUUCGUAAGGAGAGUUUUCUCAGCCUUAUCAUCCGAAUCGGGUUAGGCUCGGGAGAGAGCGGCCCUAAGGAUGAACGGUGGUGGUCAUGAGAUACUAAAUUGAAUGACAUGAUACCUUUAUAGGACAUGUGAUGUCCGAGCAUGAGGGACGACGGCCC
rnacentral:SRP_RNA from 1 species